UACAUGGGGUGCGAGCGUUACUCGGAAUCACUGGGCGUAAAGAGCGCGUAGGCGGUUUGGCAAGUCUGAUGUGAAAGCCCUGGGCUCAACCCGGGAAGUGCAUUGGAUACUGCCAGACUAGAGUGCAGGAGAGGUGAGCGGAAUUCCAGGUGUAGAGGUGAAAUUCGUAGAUAUCUGGAGGAACAACAGUGGCGAAGGCGGCUCACUGGACUGUUGCCUAAAAAGCUUAAGCCGUAAGGUUUAAACUGA
rnacentral:rRNA from 1 species